GAUGAACGCUAGCUACAGGCUUAACACAUGCAAGUCGAGGGACCGGCGCACGGGUGAGUAACACGUAUCCAACCUGCCCUUUACUCGGGGAUAGCCUUUCGAAAGAAAGAUUAAUACCCGAUCUCAAGGAUGGGAAUGCGUACCAUUAGGUUGUUGGUGAGGUAACGGCUGACCAAGCUUUCGAUGGUUAGGGGUUCUGAGAGGAAGGUCCCCCAGAAUGGAACUGAGACACGGGCGAAACUCGUACGGGAGGCAGCAGUGAGUAAGAUUGGUCAAGGGGCGCUAGCCUUGACCAGCCAAGUAGCGUGAGGGAUGAAGGCUUAUGGGUCGUAUACUUCUUUUAUAUAAGAAUAGGUAUUAUAUGAAUAAGGAUCGGCUAACUCCGUGCCAGCAGCCGCGGUAAUAC
rnacentral:rRNA from 1 species